GACGAAGGGGGCUAGCGUUGUUCGGAAUUACUGGGCGUAAAGCGCGUGUAGGCGGUUAUCCAAGUCGGGUGUGAAAGCCUUGAGCUCAACUCAAGAAAUGCACUCGGUACUGGGUGACUAGAGGACCGGAGAGGAUAGUGGAAUUCCCAGUGUAGUGGUGAAAUACGUAGAUAUUGGGAGGAACACCAGUGGCGAAGGCGGCUACCUGGACCGGUUCUGACGCUGAUGCGCGAAAGCGUGGGUAGCAAACAGG
rnacentral:rRNA from 1 species